AUGGUAGGAUAGAGGCCUACCAUGGUGGUAACGGGUAACGGGGUGUUAGGGCGCGACACCGGAGAGGGAGCCUGAGAAACGGCUACCACAUCCAAGGAUGGCAGCAGGCGCGCAAAUUACCCAAUCCCGACACGGGGAGGUAGUGACAAUAAAUAACAAUACGGGGUUCUUUAGGAUCUCGUAAUUGGAAUGAGUACAAUUUAAAUCUCUUAACGAGGAACAAUUGGAGGGCAAGUCUGGUGCCAGCAGCCGCGGUAAUUCCAGCUCCAAUAGCGUAUAUUAAAGUUGUUGCAGUUAAAAAGCUCGUAGUUGAAUUUCGGGGUCAGUAGGUCGGUCGUGCCACUGGUAUGAACUGGUUUUACUGAUUCCUCCCUCUUAAAGAACUGUAAUGCCAUUAAUUUGGUGUUGCAGGGAAUCAGGACUGUUACUUUGAAAAAAUUAGAGUGUUUAAAGCAGGCUUUAGCUUGAAUACAUUAGCAUGGAAUAAUGAAAUAGGACGUUUGAUCCUAUUUUGUUGGUUUCUAGGAUUGACGUAAUGAUUAAUAGGGAUAGUUGGGGGCAUUAGUAUUCAAUUGUCAGAGGUGAAAUUCUUGUAUUUAUUGAAGACUAACUACUGCGAAAGCAUUUGCCAAGGAUGUUUUCAUUAAUCAAGAACGAAAGUUAGGGGAUCGAAGACGAUCAGAUACCGUCGUAGUCUUAACCAUAAACUAUGCCGACUAGGGAUCGGAUGAUGUUAAUUUUUUAAUGACUCAUUCGGCGCCUUACGGGAAACCAAAGUGUUUGGG
rnacentral:rRNA from 1 species